UUUUAAAGCAACAUUUGCCUUCUUAACUCAACUACUAAAACAUAAAGCUGUCAUUGAACACAUCAAUAUUUCCUGGAAACACAGACCUCAGGACUAGAAAGAGAAAGUUUCAGAGACUUUUUAUGACUGAGGGAAAUAUUUAAUUGAGGUGAUGUGAUACAAGAACAAGCAUGAAGAAACACACACUGGGGCUUUGUCAGCUUAGCAGUGCUCGCUCGAGGCUUGUGUUGAACUAAGAGAAUCUCAGCUGAAGGAGCGACCUCGGUUUAAUAAACAGUAAGAAGACCACAUAACCAGAGGAUUAAUCCCCAGAGGGCAAUCAUAUUUUUAGGAAGCACAUAGGAAAAAGAAUCGUUUAAAAAGCCACUGGAGCAUAUAUUUUUAAAUCUAAAAUUUUAAUCUGUAUAAUACAAUAGUUAUUAUUUUGGUUAUAAACAUAUUCUAUCUUUGACAGUCAAACUUUAAUAAAAGACAUACUCAGAUUUUUUAAAAUACUAUUUCAUCAUGCUUUAGGAGGAAACAAUGAAGAAUAAAAAUUUUAAAAUAAUGAAUAAGCA
rnacentral:lncRNA from 1 species